rnacentral:rRNA from 1 species
CUACGGUAGUGAAGUCAUUGAUGCCAUGCUUCCAGGAAAAGCCUCUAAGCUUCAGAUUGUAAGGAAUCGUACCCCAAACCGACACAGGUGGUCGGGUAGAGAAUACCAAGGCGCUUGAGAGAACUCGGGUGAAGGAACUAGGCAAAAUGGUACCGUAACUUCGGGAGAAGGUACGCUCUUGAUGGUGAAGUCCCUUGCGGAUGGAGCUGACGAGAGUCGCAGAUACCAGGUGGCUGCAACUGUUUAUUAAAAACACAGCACUGUGCAAAAUCGUAAGAUGACGUAUACGGUGUGACGCCUGCCCGGUGCCGGAAGGUUAAUUGAUGGGGUUAGCGUAAGCGAAGCUCUUGAUCGAAGCCCCGGUAAACGGCGGCCGUAACUAUAACGGUCCUAAGGUAGCGAAAUUCCUUGUCGGGUAAGUUCCGACCUGCACGAAUGGCGUAAUGAUGGCCACGCUGUCUCCACCCGAGACUCAGUGAAAUUGAAAUCGCUGUGAAGAUGCAGUGUACCCGCGGCUAGACGGAAAGACCCCGUGAACCUUUACUACAGCUUGGCACUGAACAUUGAACCUACAUGUGUAGGAUAGGUGGGAGGCUUUGAAGACGUGACGCCAGUUGCGUUGGAGCCGUCCUUGAAAUACCACCCUUGUAUGUUUGAUGUUCUAACGUUGGCCCCUAAUCGGGGUUGCGGACAGUGCCUGGUGGGUAGUUUGACUGGGGCGGUCUCCUCCCAAAGAGUAACGGAGGAGCACGAAGGUGGGCUAAUCACGGUUGGACAUCGUGAGGUUAGUGCAAUGGCAUAAGCCCGCUUAACUGCGAGAAUGACGGUUCGAGCAGGUGCGAAAGCAGGUCAUAGUGAUCCGGUGGUUCUGAAUGGAAGGGCCAUCGCUCAACGGAUAAAAGGUACUCCGGGGAUAACAGGCUGAUACCGCCCAAGAGUUCAUAUCGACGGCGGUGUUUGGCACCUCGAUGUCGGCUCAUCACAUCCUGGGGCUGAAGUCGGUCCCAAGGGUAUGGCUGUUCGCCAUUUAAAGUGGUACGCGAGCUGGGUUUAGAACGUCGUGAGACAGUUCGGUCCCUAUCUGCCGUGGGCGUUGGAAGAUUGAAGGGGGCUGCUCCUAGUACGAGAGGACCGGAGUGGACGAACCUCUGGUGUUCGGGUUGUGUCGCCAGACGCAUUGCCCGGUAGCUAAGUUCGGAAUCGAUAACCGCUGAAAGCAUCUAAGCGGGAAGCGAGCCCUGAGAUGAGUCUUCCCUGAUACUUUAAGUAUCCUAAAGGGUUGUUCGAGACUAGAACGUUGAUAGGCAGGGUGUGUAAGCGCUGUGAGGCGUUGAGCUAACCUGUACUAAUUGCCCGUGAGGCUUAACCAUACAACACCCAAAGGGUUUUG